UCCAACGCUUUAUUUUAUUUUCUAUGACGCCAAAAACGGUGGAUGGCAGUAAAGAAAAAUGAACGGAGGAAUCCAAACCCUAACCCUAAGAAUUUUUAAUAAAGCCCUGUAAUCCCCAUGCCGUUUACUUUGUGCAGCGUACCUUAAGUUGUAAACCCCACUCGGUUCAUUAUGUAAAUGUCCCCAAAUGCAGAAAAAGUAUGAGUGAUGAAUUUAUUUGGAAGCCAUUGUUUCUUAGAAUGGUCGGAAUUGGAAAGAGAACAUACUGGUUUACAAAUGCCCUGCUAUACUGGAAGGUGGUUUCGCUGUUUUUGGAGGCAUUUGAUGCGGCCUAUGGAUAUAGUAACCAUAAUCCUACUACUGAGGGAGUACCUUGAUCUAUUAACAUUUGAAGAGGAAAAUGUCCCAAAAUGCAGCAACCAGAACAAUACUGUUGUUUGUGGUUUGGAGUACUGGAUAUUAAGUGUUUUGCAGGUAAUGAAAGUCAUGUAUCUAGCCAAGAACAAAGUGUGACACACUUGUAAGUUCCAUAAAGUGCGAAUUUUCUUUUCAAUUCCUGAGAUAUUGGUGACAUCUUAUGGCUGUUAGUAGUUCAUUUAGAUAUAAGUUUUCCUGAUAUGCAACCUGAACUUGUACAAGCAAGAAAUACUAAUAGAUGAUCAACUACUGACUGUAUCCAGGCAACAAUCCGUUUCAACAUUAGAUAGGCUGGAUAUUCAAUGCUUAUGCUUGUAUGGAUUUUAUUUACUGCUCUACAAAUUAUCAAGGUUGGAAAACAUUUUAAUUUUGUUUAGCGUUACAAGCUAGACUGAUUUUUCAAAAUGUGCAAAAUGCCAUCCAUUGGAGCACACCCAUAAACUGUAAUUAUUCUGAAUUCAUGAUUCAUUCAUCCAUAUUUUAAUGUAAUUAUUCCUAUUCUUGUUGCAUAACAAUACUGCUGUUUGUGGCUUGGAGUUGUGGGGAUUAAGUGUUUUGCAGGUGUUGGUGAUGGACAGGCUGAAUAUUAUCAGCAGCAAGUGAUGCCUGAGGGUUUUACACAAAUGGAUGUUGUUUCGUAGCGUGGAUAUCUGCUUCGCAUAUCGGAGGAAGAUCGUAAGAAGGUUGCAAGAAGCGGGAGGACUGCAAUUUGCUUGUCUAACUCAGCACAUAUUGUACUUUUUACUCUAUAAAUAUAUGCAACAAUAAAGAGUUAACAGUGAAACAAAAAUUUAAAUAAUUAUGACUGUCUUUAUUUGUUGUUUUUCAAUAGGAAAUACUGUUGUUGUUGUUGUUGUCUAA